UCCGGUGACGAUAGCGACGGGGAGACACCUGUUCCCAUUCCGAACACAGAAGUUAAGCCCGUCAGCGCCGAUGGUACUGCCCUGGAGACGGGGUGGGAGAGUAGGUCAUCGCCGGGU
rnacentral:rRNA from 1 species